GAUGAACGCUGGCGGCGUGCUUAACACAUGCAAGUCGAGCGAAGCACUUUUGCGGAUUUCUUCGGAUUGAAGCAACUGUGACUGAGCGGCGGACGGGUGAGUAACGCGUGGGUAACCUGCCUCAUACAGGGGGAUAACAGUUGGAAACGACUGCUAAUACCGCAUAAGCGCACAGUACCGCAUGGUACGGUGUGAAAAACUCCGGUGGUAUGAGAUGGACCCGCGUCUGAUUAGGUAGUUGGUGGGGUAACGGCCUACCAAGCCGACGAUCAGUAGCCGACCUGAGAGGGUGACCGGCCACAUUGGGACUGAGACACGGCCCAAACUCCUACGGGAGGCAGCAGUGGGGAAUAUUGCACAAUGGGGGAAACCCUGAUGCAGCGACGCCGCGUGAGCGAUGAAGUAUUUCGGUAUGUAAAGCUCUAUCAGCAGGGAAGAAAAUGACGGUACCUGACUAAGAAGCCCCGGCUAACUACGUGCCAGCAGCCGCGGUAAUACGUAGGGGGCAAGCGUUAUCCGGAUUUACUGGGUGUAAAGGGAGCGUAGGCGGCAUGGCAAGCCAGAUGUGAAAGCCCGGGGCUCAACCCCGGGACUGCAUUUGGAACUGUCAGGCUAGAGUGUCGGAGAGGAAAGCGGAAUUCCUAGUGUAGCGGUGAAAUGCGUAGAUAUUAGGAGGAACACCAGUGGCGAAGGCGACUUUCUGGACGAUGACUGACGCUGAGGCUCGAAAGCGUGNGGAGCAAACAGG
rnacentral:rRNA from 1 species